rnacentral:rRNA from 1 species
UACGUAGGGUGCAAGCGUUAAUCGGAAUUACUGGGCGUAAAGCGUGCGCAGGCGGUUUUGUAAGACAGGCGUGAAAUCCCCGGGCUUAACCUGGGAAUGGCGCUUGUGACUGCAAAGCUGGAGUGCGGCAGAGGGGGAUGGAAUUCCGCGUGUAGCAGUGAAUGCGUGGAUAUGCGGAGGAACACCGAUGGCGAAGGCAAUCCCCUGGGCCUGCACUGACGCUCAUGCACGAAAGCGUGGGGAGCAAACAGG